rnacentral:rRNA from 1 species
CGAACGCUGGCGGCGUGCUUAACACAUGCAAGUCGAACGGAAAGGCCCUGCUUUUGUGGGGUGCUCGAGUGGCGAACGGGUGAGUAACACGUGAGUAACCUGCCCUUGACUUUGGGAUAACUUCAGGAAACUGGGGCUAAUACCGGAUAGGAGCUCCUGCUGCAUGGUGGGGGUUGGAAAGUUUCGGCGGUUGGGGAUGGACUCGCGGCUUAUCAGCUUGUUGGUGGGGUAGUGGCUUACCAAGGCUUUGACGGGUAGCCGGCCUGAGAGGGUGACCGGCCACAUUGGGACUGAGAUACGGCCCAGACUCCUACGGGAGGCAGCAGUGGGGAAUAUUGCACAAUGGGCGGAAGCCUGAUGCAGCAACGCCGCGUGCGGGAUGACGGCCUUCGGGUUGUAAACCGCUUUCGCCUGUGACGAAGCGUGAGUGACGGUAAUGGGUAAAGAAGCACCGGCUAACUACGUGCCAGCAGCCGCGGUGAUACGUAGGGUGCGAGCGUUGUCCGGAUUUAUUGGGCGUAAAGGGCUCGUAGGUGGUUGAUCGCGUCGGAAGUGUAAUCUUGGGGCUUAACCCUGAGCGUGCUUUCGAUACGGGUUGACUUGAGGAAGGUAGGGGAGAAUGGAAUUCCUGGUGGAGCGGUGGAAUGCGCAGAUAUCAGGAGGAACACCAGUGGCGAAGGCGGUUCUCUGGGCCUUUCCUGACGCUGAGGAGCGAAAGCGUGGGGAGCGAACAGGCUUAGAUACCCUGGUAGUCCACGCUGUAAACGGUGGGUACUAGGUGUGGGGUCCAUUCCACGGGUUCCGUGCCGUAGCUAACGCUUUAAGUACCCCGCCUGGGGAGUACGGCCGCAAGGCUAAAACUCAAAGGAAUUGACGGGGCCCCGCACAAGCGGCGGAGCAUGCGGAUUAAUUCGAUGCAACGCGUAGAACCUUACCUGGGUUUGACAUGGAUCGGGAGUGCUCAGAGAUGGGUGUGCCUCUUUUGGGGUCGGUUCACAGGUGGUGCAUGGCUGUCGUCAGCUCGUGUCGUGAGAUGUUGGGUUAAGUCCCGCAACGAGCGCAACCCUUGUUCACUGUUGCCAGCACGUUAUGGUGGGGACUCAGUGGAGACCGCCGGGGUCAACUCGGAGGAAGGUGGGGAUGACGUCAAGUCAUCAUGCCCCUUAUGUCCAGGGCUUCACGCAUGCUACAAUGGCUGGUACAGAGAGUGGCGAGCCUGUGAGGGUGAGCGAAUCUCGGAAAGCCGGUCUCAGUUCGGAUUGGGGUCUGCAACUCGACCUCAUGAAGUCGGAGUCGCUAGUAAUCGCAGAUCAGCAACGCUGCGGUGAAUACGUUCCCGGGGCUUGUACACACCGCCCGUCAAGUCAUGAAAGUUGGUAACACCCGAAGCCGGUGGCCUAACCGUUGUGGGGGAGCCGUCGAAGGUGGGACUGGUGAUU